rnacentral:piRNA from 1 species
UCCCAUGGUCGUCAUGAAGAAUGUGCUU